rnacentral:rRNA from 1 species
UACGGAGGGUGCAAGCGUUAAUCGGAAUUACUGGGCGUAAAGCGCACGUAGGUGGUUUACUAAGCCAGCUGUGAAAUCCCCGGGCUCAACCUGGGCACUGCAGUUGGAACUGGUAAGCUAGAGUAGGGUAGAGGGGUGUGGAAUUCCAGGUGUAGCGGUGAAAUGCGUAGAUAUCUGGAGGAACAUCAGUGGCGAAGGCGACACCCUGGACUCAUACUGACACUGAGGCACGAAAGCGUGGGGAGCAAACAGG